rnacentral:rRNA from 1 species
GACGAACGCUGGCGGCGUGCUUAACACAUGCAAGUCGAACGGAAAGGCCCUGCUUGCAGGGUCCUCGAGUGGCGAACGGGUGAGUAACACGUGGGUGAUCUGCCCUGCACUUCGGGAUAAGCCUGGGAAACUGGGUCUAAUACCGGAUAGGAGCCAUUUUUAGUGUGAUGGUUGGAAAGUUUUUUCGGUGUAGGAUGAGCUCGCGGCCUAUCAGCUUGUUGGUGGGGUAAUGGCCUGCCAAGGCGGCGACGGGUAGCCGGCCUGAGAGGGUGGACGGCCACAUUGGGACUGGGACUCGGCCCAGACUCCGACGGGUGGCAGCAGUGGGGAAUGUUGCACUAUGGGCGCGAGCCUGAUGCAGCGACGCCGCGGGGGGGAGGACGGCCUUCGGGUUGGAAAUUCCUUUCGCUAGUGACGAAGCUGUUUGUGACGGUACCUAGAUAAGAAGCACCGGCUAACUACGUG